rnacentral:rRNA from 1 species
AUACGUAGGGUGCGAGCGUUGUCCGGAUUUAUUGGGCGUAAAGGGCUCGUAGGUGGUUGAUCGCGUCGGAAGCGUAAUCUUGGGGCUUAACCCUGAGCGUGCUUUCGAUACGGGUUGACUUGAGGAAGGUAGGGGAGAAUGGAAUUCCUGGUGGAGCGGUGGAAUGCGCAGAUAUCAGGAGGAACACCAGUGGCGAAGGCGGUUCUCUGGGCCUUUCCUGACGCUGAGGAGCGAAAGCGUGGGGAGCGAACAGGCUUAGAUACCCUGGUAGUCCACGCUGUAAACGGUGGGUACUAGGUGUGGGGUCCAUUCCACGGGUUCCGUGCCGUAGCUAACGCUUUAAGUACCCCGCCUGGGGAGUACGGCCGCAAGGCUAAAACUCAAAGGAAUUGACGGGG